GCAGAGUCAGACUACUGGUUUUUCUAGCUGUAUUCUGACAAGCAGUGGCUUCCCAAGGUCUCCUUCACAAGCCUUUCCCAUCAUCAUGUACCUGGCCAUUUAGGUAUUCAAAACGAGAGCUACCUGGACAGUAAGCUGUAUGUCCCCCACAUCAGUCUUCCUUUGUAUAGUCUGCCCUGUAGUAGAGGCUGUUAAGUUAGUGUUAUUGUGUUAGCCCAGGAUAUUUUGCUGCAUGAAGCUGAGUCCAAAUGGUGCCUCUCCUAUUAGGGCUAACACUUUGCAAAGUCUUGCUGCACCAUUCAGGCAGUGGAUCCUGCCUGGAUCUUUGACUUGCCACUACUGCCACAGUGCUGUCUGAGAUAGGUUACUUCACCUUUCUGCAUAACACGGCCUGCCCCUGAGCCUUCAUGUUCUCCAUCUCAAGAAAUAAAAAAUACCCCUCUCAGACUUUACUACCCAUCAGGGUUUUUUUGAUAACACAUGUAUUAUAUUUCAGCUAUGCGUGUUUGAAGAAAUGUAGCAUCUUUGACAACUGUUAGUGAGGAUGAAACACCUUUAUAUAUAGAUAAUAACUGAGCAAUGCUACAAGAGGGGGGAAUUGUGUUUCCUGACAAUUUUUGAUGUGGAUAUGCAAGUGAAGUUCUAAAGAGCUCUUGUUUUCCGUUGUGAUUAGUCAUCACACUUUCCUUUCUCAUAUAAAUGCAGAGGUUGAGCAUUACUCAUAGUACAGAAAUUGGAACUGGUUUGACAGUAAAUUCAUCUCUCUCUCUCUCUCUCUCUAUAUAUAUUAACCAAAACUUUGUAGGUUUCUGGCAGCCAUUAAAUAGCAUUGUCUGUAUAAAAGAAAAUGCAUAUCUAGGAGUGAGGGUAGAAGAAAAUAAAUCCAAAUUUCUGUAAAUCUUAUUUAUUUAUCCCCUGCAUUUCCAAAGUGGCAAACGAUACAUAGGCCUAGUUUGCAUGACCCGCUAUGUCUCCUUUUACAUAAUGGGGCCACACAGAUGUGCAGGCUCCUGGAAGGGAGCUCAUAGAAACUUUGCUCCCCCCCCCAUCCUUUUUCUUUUUCAUUUUUUUAUUAUUUCACACACAAAAAAGAAAUAUAGAAAUAAACAAAUAUCCAUCACCUCCUAGCAACU